UCUGAGACUGAGCUGCUAGUAAACAUGAGGGUAGUCAGUCAGCCACUCUAUUGUUCCAGCUUAUCAAUCACAGGUAUCCAUUUGAGGAUUCAAGGGGGUCUCUUCCCUCCCUAUACCAAUACCAUCCCAGGGUAAUGAUUAGAGUGCGCAUAUUUGCACUGGGAAGUAGUAGGGAGAAUUAUAUUAUUGGGCACAGCUUCCUUCAUUGGAUGAAACACUCUAUCUUGUUGACAAGAUUUACUCAUCCCUAAAUACUUUGAAAAUAACCUGCUUCAUGAGUUACACAGCACAGGUACCAUUCCUUCCUCAUUCCUAACUCACAGAUGAAGAAAUCAGAUCUCUUACAGGCAAAACAGCUCAUCAUAGGUUUCCCAGGGAGAAAGUUGCAGAAGAGAGAUCUGAAGCAGCAUGGAAAGCAAGGUGUGGUGGCUCACACCUGUAACUGCAGCACUCAGGAGGCAGAGACCGGGAGAUCACUACAGAUUCAUGGCAAUCACAGUGAGUUCCAUGCCAGGUAGGGAUGCAUAGCAAGAUUCUGUCACAAACUAACUAACUAAUCAACCAACUAACUAACCAACUAACUAACUACUCAACCAACCACUGAACAAACUAAAACAGGACUGGAUUGGAUGUAGUGGUGCAUGCAUGUAAUCCUAUUACUCAGUUGAUUGAGGUAGAAGAAUCUCAAAUUUAAGGUUACCCGGCAUAUUUUGGAACUCUCCUUUCUCAAAAACCUUUAAAAAGUGAAGUGUGAUGAUAAGAUGAUUCCAAUGAUUUUAUUCUCUUUCUGCAACACACAUGUGUACACAUGUACACACACACACACACACACACAAACACACACCCCAUAAUCAUUGACAAAAUAUAUGUCAUAUAUUGCUCUAUAAAGGAUUCAACAUGAUCAACAGAAAUUCAAAUUAUAUUGAAAAAUAAAAUGAAUAAGAAGCAAAUGAGAUGGGACAAGAAGAAAAGGAAGAUUGGGUACAAAUUGCAUCCAUAAAGCUUUAUCUUGCCAAUUGUAAUGACCUUGACUCUAACUUUCGGAAGAGAAGGCAGGCUUUAAGGGCUCCAUGUGACAUCCUGUUGACAAGGUUAGCAAAAGCAAAGAAGAUGCAGAUGGAAAUGGGGCUGUGUUACAACCCCAAAGUUCCUUGUCUUGAUUGUUAUACAAUGUCCUCUUGGGACUAUCGACGAUGGCUCUGGUGGUGCUCACGGACAUACCUGCCCAUCUGUGAGACAGGGAAAGCAGGAUGCCAGCCAGAAACACUCCAUUGAUCCAAGGUAAUAUACAGAAGUUGUAGAUCUGGAGUCAGGGUUCUCUAUCAUUUAACAGAUAAGUUUGUCAUUAAACCCAUAACACCAGGCUGAUCGUAAUAUUUCAGAUACAUUUCUUAAACUAAAUGUAAGAUAGAGUCUAU
rnacentral:lncRNA from 1 species